UAGGGAAUCUUCCGCAAUGGGCGAAAGCUUGACGGAGCAACGCCGCGUGAGUGAUGAAGGUCUUCGGAUCGUAAAACUCUGUUAUUAGGGAAGAACAAAUGUGUAAGUAACUAUGCACGUCUUGACGGUACCUAAUCAGAAAGCCCCGGCUAACUACGUGCCAGCAGCCGCGGUAAUACGUAGGUGGCAAGCGUUAUCCGGAAUUAUUGGGCGUAAAGCGCGCGUAGGCGGUUUUUUAAGUCUGAUGUGAAAGCCCACGGCUCAACCGUGGAGGGUCAUUGGAAACUGGAAAACUUGAGUGCAGAAGAGGAAAGUGGAAUUCCAUGUGUAGCGGUGAAAUGCGCAGAGAUAUGGAGGAACACCAGUGGCGAAGGCGACUUUCUGGUCUGUAACUGACGCUGAUGUGCGAAAGCGUGGGGAUCAAACAGG
rnacentral:rRNA from 1 species